GGGUCCGUGGCUCAAUGGUUAGAGCGUUGGACUUCUGAUCAACAGGUCUCGGGUUCGAGCCUCGGGUGGUUCA
rnacentral:tRNA from 1 species